GACGAACGCUGGCGGCGUGCUUAACACAUGCAAGUCGAACGGAAAGGCCCUGCGUUUGUGGGGUGCUCGAGUGGCGAACGGGUGAGUAACACGUGAGUAACCUGCCCUUGACUUUGGGAUAACUUCAGGAAACUGGGGCUAAUACCGGAUAGGAGCUCCUGCUGCAUGGUGGGGGUUGGAAAGUUUCGGCGGGUGGGGAUGGACUCGCGGCUGAUCAGCUUGUUGGUGGGGUAGUGGCUUACCAAGGCUUUGACGGGUAGCCGGCCUGAGAGGGUGACCGGCCACAUUGGGACUGAGAUACGGACCAGACUCCUACAGGAGGCAGCAGUGGGGAAUAUUGCACAAUGGGAGGAAGCGUGAUGCAGCAACGCCGCGUGCGGGAUGACGGCCUUCGGGUUGUAAACAGCUUUCGCCUGUGACGAAGCGUGAGUGACGGUAAUGGGUAAAGAAGCACCGGCUAACUACGUG
rnacentral:rRNA from 1 species